AAGCAAACAGGUUCAAAAGUUGUCACACUGAGUCUACCUUAAAAACAUUAAAAGCCUUGUAGCGUAUACCUUUGGCAUGUUCAUUUGGCAAGCAAGAUGUAAUGCGGAACACUGACUUGUCCGAGUUUUUGCAUCUAUAUCAGCACCUUUACGAAUCAAGAUGGUUGACAUAUCUUCGUAACCAUGGAGAGCAGCAACAUGGAGUGGAGAAAAACCAUCGCUAUUGGUUGAAUUGAUGUGGAGACCAUCUGAUGUCACAGAAGAGUUCCUCUGUGCUACAAAGUCUCUGAGCAUCUUCAAUAACAUACUGCAACCUUACUAAAAUCUUCAGUGGGUGUUAAUAAUUCUCAAUUUUGAAGAGCAGAUUAUCUCGGAGUGACAAGUCCAGUUGUUUUAAUAGGAGAUUAUCCAAUAAUUUUAUCACUGAUCAUUCCAAUAUAAACAGUCAGACAUCACAAAAGUACUGAGCUGGAAAUUACAAGAUAGUGCACGAGUGAGUGAAAUAUUAAAAUGUGAAACUGAGAUAAAGAGAUUUAAGUGGAAUUGCCAUGGAAUAAAGGCAGUGAAAUGAUGAAAUCGAAAUUUUCUAAAUCAGCACUAUACAGUACAUAGAAAAACCACAAAAUCAGUGUGUAAAGGAGAGACAAUAAAAGAACAAAGCCAACUGGCAUAAAAUGUUUUAAAAUACAGGAUUUUUCUCUCAGCUGUUUGAGGUUUUGAAAUCAAGUAACUGAAUAUGAUGGUAACAAAAAUACUAAUUCCUUUACUCCUCAUAACCACACUACAUAUCUCGGGUAGGCCAAAUAGACAUAGAAAGAAUUUGAGACACCAACAUGGAAAGAAAACGAGACACCAACAUCUGAAAAAUCCAAGAACCAAACAGGAACAUGUAUUAAAGCCAUUAAAGCCAAGGAUUAGACUUCGCAUAACCAGGGACUUUCUUCCCAUUGAUGAUAAGACCAAUACUAAUAAAGAACAAAGGGAUUCGGGACUUAUAUCUCCAUGGCGUCCACUUGUAGGACCAAAAAAACUGGUCCAAAAAUGUGACAAUGCUGAGAAGAUUUUUAGCAGUGAUGAAAAGGGUAUUUCAUUAAGGGAGGCUCAACGUAAGGCUUCUGCUUCUGGAACUGAGGAUUGGGUUAAAUCAAGAAAACACAAUGUUUUGGACCGGAUGGAUCCUUUGUACAGUAUGAGUCCUAGUGUUGGCGGGAACAGGGGGCCAGCUGGACAGGUGAAAAAUAGUGAUUAUGAUGACAAUAUCUACAGUUUCUUCACAUGUAAUGUAUGUGAAACGAAGAAAUUCUUCAUCACAGAGGAGUUCUUGACAGAUACUAAAACCAACCGUCAACUUCAUCUGGUUCAGUUAGGACAUCUCAACCCUCCAAAAUACCAGAAUAUACAGAUUGGGCUGUG
rnacentral:misc_RNA from 1 species